rnacentral:rRNA from 1 species
UACGUAGGGUGCGAGCGUUGCCCGGAUUUAUUGGGCGUAAAGAGCGUGUAGGCGGCCAAGCAGGUCCGUUGUGAAAACUGGAGGCUUAACCUCCAGACGUCGACGGAAACCGCGCGGCUAGAGUCCGGAAGAGGAGAGUGGAAUUCCUGGUGUAGCGGUGAAAUGCGCAGAUAUCAGGAAGAACACCAAUGGCGAAGGCGGUUCUCUGGGCCUUACCUGACGCUGAGGAGCGAAAGCGUGGGGAGCGAACAGG